rnacentral:rRNA from 1 species
UACGGAGGAUGCAAGCGUUAUCCGGAAUGAUUGGGCGUAAAGCGUCCGCAGGUGGCUAUGUAAGUCUGCUGUUAAAGAGUCUAGCUCAACUAGAUACAAGCAGUGGAAACUACAAGGCUAGAGUACGUUCGGGGCAGAGGGAAUUCCUGGUGUAGCGGUGAAAUGCGUAGAGAUCAGGAAGAACACCGGUGGCGAAGGCGCUCUGCUAGGCCGUAACUGACACUGAGGGACGAAAGCUAGGGGAGCGAAUGGGAUUAGAUACCCCAGUAGUCCUAGCCGUAAACGAUGGAUACUAGGCGUGGCUUGUAUCGACCCGAGCCGUGCCGUAGCUAACGCGUUAAGUAUCCCGCCUGGGGAGU